UGUACACGCUGUGACUAGCAUAUCAAUAAGCGGAGGAAAAGAAACUAACAAGGAUUCCCCUAGUAACGGCGAGUGAAGCGGGAAGAGCUCAAAUUUGAAAUCUUAAAGGGUUUCCCUUUACGAAUUGUAGUUUAAAGAAGUGUUUUCUGUUGAGGUUUUGGUAAAAGUUCUUUGGAAUAGGACAUCAUAGAGGGUGAGAAUCCCGUAUUUGACCUUUACUUUCAACUUUGUGAUACACUUUCAAAGAGUCGGAUUGUUUGGGAAUGCAGUCCAAAAUGGGUGGUGAAAUUUCAUCUAAAGCUAAAUAUUGGCGAGAGACCGAUAGCGAACAAGUACCGUGAGGGAAAAGAUGAAAAGAACUUUGAAAAGAGAGUUAAACAGUACGUGAAAUUGUCAAAAGGGAAGCGUUUGACACCAGUGUUGUUUUUCUGAAAAUCAAUUAAAGAACUGUUUAUGCUAAGUUGUUUAGACUUUAUCAGCUAACUGUUUAGCUUUUGAGCUUUUCUUUAAUGCACUUUUCAGUUAACAAGUCAACAUCAAUUUCUUUUGCUGUAAAAAAAGCUUGAGGAAGGUGGCUUGAGAUUCGUCUUAAGUGUUUAUAGCCUCUUGCCUAUGCAGUCGGAGAGAUUGAGGUCUGCAGCGUAGAUCCUUCGGGGCUAAAUGCAUUUGUGCUAAGUUAUAGCAUUUUAUAGACAACUUGUUGACUAUGAUUUGUCUUGUAGCUUACUCGCUUAUGUUAUUUUACCUACGCUUAGGAUGUUGAAGAUGUAGCACAUCAU
rnacentral:rRNA from 1 species